rnacentral:rRNA from 1 species
UACGUAGGGGGCAAGCGUUGUCCGGAUUCAUUGGGCGUAAAGAGCGUGUAGGCGGCCAGGUAGGUCGGUUGUGAAAACUGGAGGCUCAACCUUCAGAGGUCGACCGAAACCAUCUGGCUAGAGUCCGGAAGAGGAGAGUGGAAUUCCUGGUGUAGCGGUGAAAUGCGCAGAUAUCAGGAGGAACACCAAUAGCGAAGGCAGCUCGCUGGGACGGUACUGACGCUAAGGCGCGAAAGCGUGGGGAGCGAACAGG